rnacentral:rRNA from 1 species
UACGUAGGGACCGAGCGUUGUCCGGAAUCAUUGGGCGUAAAGAGCGUGUAGGCGGCCACUUAAGUCCUGCGUGAAAUCUUGCGGCUCAACCGCAAGCGGUCGUGGGAAACUGGGUGGCUAGAGUCCGGAAGAGGCGAGUGGAAUUCCUGGUGUAGCGGUGAAAUGCGCAGAUAUCAGGAGGAACACCAAUGGCGAAGGCAGCUCGCUGGGACGGUACUGACGCUGAGACGCGAAAGCGUGGGGAGCGAACAGG